rnacentral:rRNA from 1 species
UGCUACCAAAGCUUUAUGUGCUGAAAGAUGGCCUCGCGUCUGAUUAGCUAGUUGGUGGGGUAACGGCCCACCAAGGCGACGAUCAGUAGCCGGUCUGAGAGGAUGAACGGCCACAUUGGGACUGAGAUACGGCCCAGACUCCUACGGGAGGCAGCAGUGGGGAAUAUUGGGCAAUGGGGGAAACCCUGACCCAGCAACGCCGCGUGAAGGAAGAAGGCCUUCGGGUUGUAAACUUCUUUUACCAGGACGAAGAAC